rnacentral:rRNA from 1 species
CCUACGGGUGGCAGCAGUCGAGAAUCAUUCACAAUGGGGGAAACCCUGAUGGUGCGACGCCGCGUGGGGGAAUGAAGGUCUUCGGAUUGUAAAGCUCUUUCGGACGUGACGAUGAUGACGGUAGCGUCUAAAGAAGCACCGGCAAACUUCGUGCCAGCAGCCGCGGUAAUACGAAGGGUGCGAGCGUUGUUCGGAAUUACUGGGCGUAAAGGGAGUGUAGGCGGAUAUGUAAGAUAGCGGUGAAAUGCCGGGGCUCAACCCCGGAACUGCCAUUAUGACUAUGUAUCUAGAGUAAUGGAGAGGAUAGCGGAAUACCCAGUGUAGAGGUGAAAUUCGUAGAUAUUGGGUAGAACACCGGUGGCGAAGGCGGCUAUCUGGCCAUUUACUGACGCUGAGGCUCGAAAGCAUGGGGAUCAAACAGGAUUAGAUACCCGUGUAGUC